UCGACCGCCUGCCCACUAAAG
rnacentral:snRNA from 1 species